CGUGUAGGCGGGAAUAUAAGUCAGAUGUGAAAUACCGAGGCUUAACUUCGGGGCUGCAUCUGAAACUAUGUUUCUUGAGUGUCGGAGAGGAAAGUGGAAUUCCCAGUGUAGCGGUGAAAUGCGUAGAUAUUGGGAGGAACACCAGUGGCGAAGGCGACUUUCUGGACGAUGACUGACGCUGAGGCGCGAAAGCGUGGGGAGCAAACAGGAUUAGAUACCCUGGUAGUCCACGCUGUAAACGAUGGAUACUAGGUGUAGGAGGUAUCGACCCCUUCUGUGCCGCAGUUAACACAAUAAGUAUCCCACCUGGGGAGUACGGCCGCAAGGUUGAA
rnacentral:rRNA from 1 species